GAGAUCUCUGACUCUAGCUUCAACUCAAGCGGAACUCUUACCAUGGAUGAGAUCCCUCGCAAGAGACAGCGAAAAGAGAAUAAGCAUGAUGCAACAUCAGCUAAACAGGAUGAAACGUCCUGAUGCAACCCUGGCCGGGAAUCGAACCCAUGCGAGGCAGAUGCGUGUCCCGUUACCAGAGGUCACUUGCCCUUCCUCCUGUUUCACUGGUCUGAUGUCUCUCCUGAUUGCCUGAUUGUGCCCACCUGUGUCACCCUCGCUCAUGUGUAUAAAUGUCUGGUCUUCCUCUUGUCUUGUGCCAGAGUAUAUCGUCUCGCUACGUGCUUCCAGCCUUGUCCACGGCCUUGAACCAAGUUUUGCUAAGUAUUGCCUUGCCUUAUUUAUUGAUUUCUUUGUUUCCUCUGAGAAAGACUUAUUUUGUUUGUUAAAGUUUUUGGUCAAGAAUUUUGUGUCUAAUUUCAGUGCUUUGCCUUCUUUUUUCCCCCUCCUCUUGGAGCGCUUUAGUUUGUAGUUUUCUCAGCUUUUUAUAGCGCACUUUCUGUUAAGUUAUUUUCUCCUCUGCAUGAGUGAUUUACCUUUU